UUAGCUGAUGAAAACUUGACAACAACAACUUGAAUUUCUUCAUCCGACAAAACCCAGGAGGAAAUAAAUCUUAGCUUUUUAACCCUGAUU
rfam:Cyberlindnera jadinii strain CBS1600 genome assembly, contig: CJ2